rnacentral:lncRNA from 1 species
UCUAGCUUCUCUUCUUCUCUCUUUUAUGCUGUUAGGUGUGUGUGUGUGUGUGUGUGUGUGUGUGUGUGUGUAUUCUCCAGCAGGCCCCUCAUGAUGACAUGUCUGCCCCACGACACUUUGUUUAGGUUCGUCUUGACCCUGGCAGAGAUUACAUGUUCCAACAGACAGAUAGUUUGGGCUCCUGCAAGACAGCCUUGCUUACAAUCUCAUGGUCGUGGGGCAGCAGGAGCAGGCCAACCUAGACUAUUUGUAGCUUCUUACUAAAAGAUAAUUACUCUAUAUUUCUUAACCUAAAUGUGUGAAGACAUUCCCCUACAACCUUUUAAGACACAUCUUUUCUCUUCACAUCCUCUCUCAUUCUCACAUUACCACACACAAAAUACUUUUUAAUUUUAUUAUCUAUUUAACCUCAUUGUAAAUCUGUAAUAAUCUGUGAAUGUUGGCAUGGGUUCUAGCUCUGUCUGGAGUGGUGUGGAUUGUGUUUUGGGUUGCAUCGUACUCACCCGCGAUAACAAUGUCUCCCACUUCUUCUUCUCACAGCUGUACUGGCACCAGUUUGACCUUCACCCUCAUUGUUGUCAUCAGUCUCUCUCUCGGUCUCUCUCCACACAUUGUCCAACAACAACAACACCAGGAAAACAGUUACUUUCAGGACGAGUGCUACAGUCAUUCUGGGGGUGUCUCUUAUCAAGUCAUACUUCCCUUGUUUUUCUGGGCAGUCAGCGGUAGAUGACGCCACACCAUACUGCCCUUUUCUUGCACUGAAGUAGAGUUCACCAGGACCAAAGUGUUCAGGUCUUCUCCUCGUUCUUUGUGCCACCCUCCUCAAAGGACGGUGAUGUACACCUGGUGCUCUGGCUCGACUGGCCUCCCCCUCUUGACUGGGAUCAGAUUUUGGCACUCCUCCUGCUAAUCGAUAGAUCUUUGUAUCGUAGUUAGCUGCCUCAUAUAUUUAAUUCACUAAUUUUCAGCUGCUCAAGCGAAAAACUUAAUUAUUUAGCCGCAGUAAAGCAUAGCUUUGUAAGUUAGUCAAUCAUGCAGUGAAAGAUUUAUCUCAGUGCUUUUGAUUGUGAAAGCUCAUAAGCGCAAGUAGCAAAAGCAUCUUCCUAUAGGUUAGUGUUAGUGCAAAUUCUCUGAUCAGAUAUUUACUUGAGAGAUUAACUUUCUUCCCCAAAAUGAUGUACCAGUUCAUACAAUUAAAGAUUUAUUUUGACUCCAAGAUCUUUUGAUGGUGUUGCUUCUAUCCAUCGACUGAACCCGUCAUCAUUACAAACAUGUAACAUAUCCCUUGGCAGUUUUAAUCAUGUCCACAUUGUCUAUGAAUAGAUUUCUAAAAGCAUCUCUCUGGAACUGGAAAGUGUCCCACUACUGUUUUAUUGUUCUCUUCAAUUUAUCUAACAAAACACAUAUCACAAUGACCCAAAAGUUUAUCAACUAUUGUCAGCAUAUUCUAAAAAUGUCGUUUUAAUUGUCUCAUCAUCUCCCCCCUUGCACAGUGUGAAUCACUGUGAAAGUCAGAUCCUAAGUUCGUUUGUUAAUACUCCUGGUACAAAAACUAGUUAUUUGACUCUAAACCAUUUUCUGUGGCCUUACUGGCCUUUGAUAGCUUUCUAUUACUUUUACAUUAGAUGGCACACCUGUCAGGAGUGUAUGUGGAUUCAGCACAGCUGCAUUUAGAUUUAUCAGUAUUAAACUAACAGAACAGGAAUGUUACAAUGCUAAUGUCACGAUAUUUACUUAAAACUAUAAACCAUAACUGUCUACUUACACACCUUGCGGUGAGCACCAACUUUGAAUGUUACUUCUACAUAGGGCUCUUUGGUCUAUAAGGUCAACAGGGUUAAAAUUAAAACCAAAAAUUAACUUUUUCCAUCAUCCACAAAAAUCACACUGUAGUGAGCCACCACUUUCACAUUGUCUGGGCUGGGGCUCCCCACCACAGCUCCAGCCAGAGACGUCCCUGGUCUGGGCAGUUGUCAAAAAUGUCUGGUAUGAUCACAUCUCCAGCAGGUCUAUAGACGUCACACAUCCGUCAGAAUUCCACUCUCUCCCCCUGCCGGGAUAUAUCCUCUCUAUGGAGCAGGGUUCUGUCUGAGGAUAAACAUUCACAACAGGUGAUUAAACAGGUUACUGUCACAGGUUUUACCGCAGUUAGCCUCUGCACGGUCUGCAUCGCUGGGUCUCUUUUGCAGUGUCUUCCUUAGAGGUGGCCACCAUCGUGGCCUGAGUCUGUACUCCACAUCACAUCACAAUAUGCAUUGAACUCACUCCCAUCUAUCAUGGGAUACGUCAUCCAACCUUGUUUUGCCUUGCGCAGAGACUCCUCCAUCGUCUUAGUUCCCAGCAGUUGAGCCAAGAGUGCUUUCAUGUCUGGUGUAGUCAACAUUUUCUUACAGUUCAUCCUCAAAAACUCGUAUCCAUCUCCCUGCCCCCUGUUCAGUUUGUGGUAGUCUGGCAAUCAACCCAACAAGGUGUGUGGUUUUCCACAGCACAAUUUCACGAAAACUGUCAAUUACCUUUUCAAAACAUAUGGGACAAAAUAGCAAUGAUUAUAAAUCAUUUGGAAAUUCAAAAGAGAUAAAUAAGAAAAAAAAAAAAAAAAAUAUAUAAUAAUAAUAAUAAUAAUAAGUUUAAAGGCAACCUAAGAUAGAAAAGUUUUAGUUUUUAUUCUAUUCUUAUUUAUUAGUUCAAAAGAUCAUCGCAUGAGUAAGAAAAAACAAAUAAUAUAAAGUAUGAAAAUGACACAAAUCUUUGAACAUGUCCAGUACUUUUAGUUCCAUAUCUCUUGUUUUUGCGUGUUUUACUUUAUCUUUGUGUUUAUGGCCUUAGAUUCGCUGCUCCAAAUCCUCACACACAGCCAAAUCAGAUGUGCCUCCCCUAGGUCAUAAAAAUUCAAACCCCUUGACUCAUUGUUCCCAUUUCUUUGUAAGUUUUUGGAUAUUUUUAAGUGAUCAGGAUAUUUACACCCUACCAGUGCAAUUGGAGUUAAACUAAUCUUCCCUUUCUGAUCAUGGUUUUUGUAAAAUUUAUUAUUCAAAUGAGCACACACAUCAAAACUUGAUCCCCAGCAGUUUUGUAAAAUUCCCAAAAAAUACACAGUAUAAAGCUUUUGCCUUAACUGCAGUUCUAUAGCAAUAGUCAGUAUUGAUAUUAACAGCUUCAAUAAUAUUUAAAAAACCCAGUAUUUUGGCAAAAACAGCAGAUGUAUAGAAGCAACUCUUAGAUUUGAAGUUUUAGAAGUUUCGCACUUGUGGUACCUCAUUUCUUUUUCCCCUUUUUGUAUCUUUUAUACUUUUACAAAUAUUAUUUCAGCAGCUUUAACACAGAAAAUUGGUUACGGAGCAUAAGACGUGUUCACAACAAAAAAAAAAAAAAAAACAUAAUAUUUAAGCAUAAGCUAAAACCUUCAUAUCAGGAGUGUUCAUCAUGGUACUAGGAACAGAACCUCUUUCCCAGGAGUAUUUAACCUUCUAUGUCUCAACUGAUAACAUGACCGCAAUGAGCACAGUAUUCACAUAAACAACUAUGAAAUAAACACAAGUGAGGAAAACACAGCAAUCUUUGACUAGCAUAACACACACACAGAUGCAGAGUCUGGCUGUGAACACUGCCAGAGAACUUAGUUGACACAGAACAAAACAGACACACACAAACAUCCAAUCAACCCACACACUUCACUUUUUUAUCACACAAUGGUAUACCCUUUCACACGUGUUUGAAGUCAAAGUCAGUCACUGGAGUCAGUCAGCAGUCUUCUAUUUUAAUUCUUGUUUUGAUUUCUUCAAUUUUUCCAAUUUGUGUGAUUUUUUUUCAAUUUGUGUGAUUCUUCUACAAUUGGUCAGGAGAUAUGGGACGUGCUUGUUCAAUUGGGAUCCUUGAAUAGGUUUUUCAGCCUAUCCUUAUUGACCUCUUUUUCUAUCUCCUGCUCAUCAAGCCAAUCUGUAUCUGUAAUUUAAGUCCAAUUAUAACACUGAUUUUGUGAGGUCUUCGACAUAUAAAAGAGAUAUAUAUAUGUUCAUUUCAAAUAUCUACUAUUCCGUCAUUAUACUUAUUCGGCCCUCUAGAGUUCUGGAUCAGAAUUUAGGAGGAAAUAUGCCACUUUCGUUCUCCUUUUGGCUUUUUCUUAAGCCUCAGCGGAACUUCGCAUGACAAAUCCACUUUCUAGUGGAGUUUUCCAGAAAGAAAAUCCACGUAUGUAUUACGAGAUGAAUCUGCUCGUCCAUCAGCUGCCACCUUUCAGAGCUCAUGAAAGAUGGUCUAAAAUUCACAGUUCAACAAUGGACAGACACACUCGUGUCUGCCCCUCCCCUUGUUAUCCCAAAAAUUACCCUGAACCUUUUUAUCUCCAGGCAUUCAGCCUAAAAAAAAAAAAAAAAAAAAAACACAUCACAACCCGGGCCCGGCUGUCUCCCCAAGCUACUGGCCAGUGCUUUUCUGCACCCAGCCUAUAGCUUCACAUAUGACAAUCUCACACUUAAAGCAGCGUGAGGCGGUCUCACACUCUGAAGGAGACGAAAUGCUUCUGCACCCAGCCGAUAGCUUCACAUGUGACAAUCUCACACUUAUAGCAGCGUGAGGCGGUCUCACCCUUUAGGAAGACGAAGUGCUUCUGCACCCAGCCUAUAGCUUCUCACACAUAGAACAGCCUAUGGCUUCUACAUAUGGCAUCUCACACAUGCAGCAGCCUAUAGCUCUACAUGUGACAUUCCUCAUAUGCAGCAGCCUAUAGCUCUACAUGUGGCAUCCCUCAUAUGUAGCAGCCUACAGCUCUACAUAUGGCAUCUCACACAUGCAACAGCGUGAGGCAGUUUCACACAGUCAACUGCAGUUUCUCUUAAAUCAGCUGAUAUAUAUUCAAUUUCAAUUGGCUUCCUCACAAAUUUAGCAGACUUUGAUCAGCUGACUGCAUGCAUGCAGUUUUCUCAGACUGUCUUCAUUCCCACUGUCUCCUCUUAUUUCUAUUCUAGGUUCUUUGAUUCGAAGAGGACAGAGAACAGUAGUCCGUACCACCUCACAGGGAGAAGAACUCUCAACCAAAUUUUAGGAAAUAUCCUACCUUUUUCUUUUUUGUGCGCACAGAGUGUCCUUAUCCCAUGUGAAGUUCGCAGAACCAUGGUCCCUUGUCCCCCGAAACGAAUUCUGGCUAAAGCUCGCCAAUUAUGUUGUGGAACGUCCAACAUAAACUCAGUAAAACAAUGUACAGGAGACAUGAUGAGAUCUGAAGAACAGCCUGGGGCGUCUUUAAUUGUACAGAUGUAGAGAUCAGUACAGAUGACAAAUAGAGUCUCGACCAAGACCCAAGGAAGCCUCCUCUAGCUUCUCUUCUUCUCUCUUUUAUGCUGUUAGGUGUGUGUGUGUGUGUGUGUGUGUGUGUGUGUGUGUGUGUGUGUGUGUGUGUGUGUGUAUUCUCCAGCAGGCCCCUCAUGAUGACAUGUCUGCCCCACGACACUUUGUUUAGGUUCGUCUUGACCCUGGCAGAGAUUACAUGUUCCAACAGACAGAUAGUUUGGGCUCCUGCAAGACAGCCUUGCUUACAAUCUCAUGGUCGUGGGGCAGCAGGAGCAGGCCAACCUAGACUAUUUGUAGCUUCUUACUAAAAGAUAAUUACUCUAUAUUUCUUAACCUAAAUGUGUGAAGACAUUCCCCUACAAUGCAAAUAGGAUAAUUUUUU